GUUGGUGUAUCUCAGUGGUAGAGCGCAUGCUUUGUAUGUAUGAUGUUCUGGGUUCAAUCCCCAGGUCGCUGUUG